GCCGCGGCGACGGGUGCGGGGUGCGCGCCCGGCUUCGGUCCGGGCUUGGGUGCGCCCGGGCGGGGACCGGGCUUGGGUCCCGGCUUCGGCG
rnacentral:tRNA from 1 species